CGGAGGAUCCAUGCGUUAUCCGGAAUCAUUGGGUUUAAAGGGUCCGUAGGCGGUUCUAUAAGUCAGUGGUGAAAUCUGGUCGCUCAACGAUCAAACGGCCAUUGAUACUGUAAGACUUGAAUUACUUGGAAGUAACUAGAAUAUGUAGUGUAGCGGUGAAAUGCUUAGAGAUUACAUGGAAUACCAAUUGCGAAGGCAGGUUACUACAAGUAUAUUGACGCUGAUGGACGAAAGCGUGGGGAGCGAACAGGAUUAGAUACCCUGGUAGUCCACGCCGUAAACGAUGGAUACUAGCUGUUUGGAGCAAUCUGAGUGGCUAAGCGAAAGUGAUAAGUAUCCCACCUGGGGAGUACGCUCGCAAGAGUG
rnacentral:rRNA from 1 species